UACGGAGGAGGCAAGCGUUAUCCGGAAUUAUUGGGCGUAAAGCGUCCGUAGGUGGCUCUUCAAGUCUGCUGUCAAAGACCGGGGCUUAACUUCGGAAAGGCAGUGGAAACUGAACAGCUAGAGUAUGGUAGGGGCAGAGGGAAUUCCUGGUGUAGCGGUGAAAUGCGUAGAGAUCAGGAAGAACAUCGGUGGCGAAGGCGCUCUGCUGGACCAUAACUGACACUCAGGGACGAAAGCUAGGGGAGCGAAUGGG
rnacentral:rRNA from 1 species